rnacentral:hammerhead_ribozyme from 1 species
AUCCAUCUGACGAGUCCCAAAUAGGACAAAACGCACGUCCUGGAU